ACCCCCCUAGCUCAAUGGUAGAGCAGCGGACUUUUAAUCCGUUGGUUCGGGGUUCGAGUCCCCGGGGGGGUA
rnacentral:tRNA from 1 species